rnacentral:rRNA from 1 species
UACGUAGGGUGCGAGCGUUGUCCGGAAUUAUUGGGCGUAAAGGGCUCGUAGGCGGUCUGUCGCGUCGGGAGUGAAAACUCGGGGCUUAACUCCGAGCCUGCUUCUGAUACGGGCAGACUAGAGGUAUGCAGGGGAGAAUGGAAUUCCUGGUGUAGCGGUGAAAUGCGCAGAUAUCAGGAGGAACACCGGUGGCGAAGGCGGAUCUCUGGGCCUUGCCUGACGCUGAGGCGCGAAAGCUAGGGGAGCGAACAGG